rnacentral:tRNA from 1 species
GAAGCUGUAGUUUAACGGUUAAAACACUCUGAAAAUGAGUAUUGUGGGUUCGAGUCCUACGCACUUCUCCC